AAAACACUUCUGAACGAUACUUCAUAAAAUAAAUUCAAGUCAUUCUAGAGUAAUCAUCCACAAAAGUGAUAAAAUAUUUGAAUCUAGUCUUAGAUCCAACCAGACAUGGGUCCCAAACAUCUUAAUGAACUAAUUUAAAAGCAGACUCAGCUCGUUUAUUGAUUCUAGGACUUAAAGAGAUUCAAUGAUGUAAUGACAUUACUCACAUUCCAGUAAAGAUACCUCAUGAAAUUGAGGGCAUAACUUCUUCAAAACCAGUAAAAAAGGGUGUCCCAACCGACAAUGUGCUUCAAACGGAGACACGACACUGCAGCAAGCAACAGACUGAGAUACUUAUGCAUCCAAAAUGUAGAGACCCCCAG
rnacentral:lncRNA from 1 species